AGAGUUUGAUCCUGGCUCAGAUUGAACGCUGGCGGUAUGCUUAACACAUGCAAGUCGAACGGAAACGGAACUAGCUUGCUAGUAGACGUCGAGUGGCGGACGGGUGAGUAACGCGUAGGAAUCUGCCUGAUAGUGGGGGAUAGCCCGGAGAAAUUCGGAUUAAUACCGCAUAAUCUAUUCGUAGUAAAGUGGGGGACUUUCGAGCCUCACGCUAUCAGAUGAGCCUGCGUAAGAUUAGCUUGUUGGUAGGGUAAAAGCCUACCAAGGCUACGAUCUUUAGCUGGUCUGAGAGGAUGAUCAGCCACAUCGGGACUGAGACACGGCCCGAACUCCUACGGGAGGCAGCAGUGGGGAAUAUUGGACAAUGGGGGCAACCCUGAUCCAGCAAUACCGCGUGUGUGAAGAAGGCCUGAGGGUUGUAAAGCACUUUCAAUUGUGAAGAAAAGUUAACGGUUAAUAACCGUUGACCUUGACGUUAACUUUAGAAGAAGCACCGGCUAACUCCGUGCCAGCAGCCGCGGUAAUACGGAGGGUGCAAGCGUUAAUCGGAAUUACUGGGCGUAAAGCGCGCGUAGGCGGUUUAGUAAGUCGAAUGUGAAAGCCCAGGGCUUAACCUUGGAAUUGCAUUCGAUACUGCUUGACUGGAGUAUGGUAGAGGGAAGUGGAAUUUCAAGUGUAGCGGUGAAAUGCGUAGAUAUUUGAAGGAACACCAGUGGCGAAGGCGACUUCCUGGGCCAAUACUGACGCUGAGGUGCGAAAGCGUGGGGAGCGAACAGGAUUAGAUACCCUGGUAGUCCACGCCGUAAACGAUGAGAACUAGAUGUUGGGGGGGUUACCCUUCAGUGUCGCAGCUAACGCGUUAAGUUCUCCGCCUGGGGAGUACGUCGGCAACGAUAAAACUCAAAGGAAUUGAC
rnacentral:rRNA from 1 species